rnacentral:tRNA from 1 species
UGGCUCAGUGGUAGAGCGCUUGCCUUGCAUGCAUGAGGACUUGGGUUCAAUUCCUUA